rnacentral:rRNA from 1 species
UACAGAGGUGGCAAGCGUUGUUCGGAAUUACUGGGCGUAAAGGGCGCGUAGGCGGCCAUUUAAGUCAGACGUGAAAUCCCCAGGCUCAACCUGGGAACUGCGUCUGAUACUGGGUGGCUUGAGUUCGGGAGAGGGAUGCGGAAUUCCAGGUGUAGCGGUGAAAUGCGUAGAUAUCUGGAGGAACACCGGUGGCGAAGGCGGCAUCCUGGACCGAAACUGACGCUGAGGCGCGAAAGCUAGGGGAGCAAACGGG